UCCCUCGAGCGCCUCGUGAUCGAGGAGCGCCAGCUCCUCUCCGAGCAGAGUUGGAAGGGGUCGUAGGGUCGGCGAUGUCGUGUCUCUGUUUUGCAACGCGUAAUUACCAACAACGGGCAGGCACGGCGUUCCCGUGGCGCACGGCUGCCAGUCGAGCGCGGCAUUAGACGGAUUUUUAUGCGAGCGCGUAACGAACGGCGUUUUGCAUAUUCCAUGCCAGGCCACGACGUCUCGCGCUCGGCUCUCAACAGUGCGCCCUUCUAAGUGCCGCCUGUGUUCCGUCACGCGCCACGACCUGGAAACCGAUACGUCUAAAUCGAGUUUCUC